GAUGAACGCUAGCGGUGCGCCUAACACAUGCAAGUCGAGCGCCCUCACUUUGUCUCUGACAUACGUCGGAGCCAGUGUGAGGGAGCGGCGAACGGGUGAGUAACACGUUGGAACCUACCCCAGACUCAGGGAUAGCCCGCCGAAAGGUGGAUUAAUACCGGAUAGUCUCGUAAGAGUAAAGCUUUUGCGGUUUGGGAGGGGCCUGCGGCCUAUCAGCUAGUUGGUAAGGUAAUGGCUUACCAAGGCUAUGACGGGUAUCUGGUGUGAGAGCAUGACCAGACACAAUGGAACUGAGACACGGUCCAUACUCCUACGGGAGGCUG
rnacentral:rRNA from 1 species